rnacentral:lncRNA from 1 species
GUUUCUCCUCUGCAACACCCCUCUGCCAGGUGUCACUCUGCGUUGGAGCCAGCAGAUUAUGGACUAACACCUCUACAAACUCCCCAGGAAGAUCCAGGAUUGGAUGUAGAGUGGUAGAAUCCAAAAGCAUGGACACAUUUCCUGAUGUGGUCAACAUUCUCUGAGAGUUCUGCCCUCAAUGAAGGUCCAAAACUUGGAGUCAACUUCCCUCCCUCCCAUAGCCACAUCUGCUCCAUCAUGAAUGCCAGUUCUACCUUCUGCACAGACAGCUGUGAGACCUCUCACCACCUACUGCUUCUCUCACCCAGCCACCAACUCCUGCUAUUCUUCUUCCAGAGAUGAUUUCCGGUGAAGAGUCUUCGAUUGCAUCCAUCUCGGC